GACGAACGCUGGCGGCGUGCUUAACACAUGCAAGUCGAACGGAAAGGCCCUGCUUUUGUGGGGUGCUCGAGUGGCGAACGGGGGAGUAACACGUGAGUAACCUGCCCUUGACUUUGGGAUAACUUCAGGAAACUGGGGCUAAUACCGGAUAGGAGCUCCUGCUGCAUUGUGGGGGUUGGAAAGUUUCGGCGGGUGGGGAUGGACUCGCGGCUUAUCAGCUUGUUGGUGGGGUAGUGGCUUACCAAGGCUUUGACGGGUAGCCGGCCUGAGAGGGUGACCGGCCACAUUGGGACUGAGAUACGGCCCAGACUCCUACGGGAGGCAGCAGUGGGGAAUAUUGCACAAUGGGCGGAAGCCUGAUGCAGAAACGCCGCGUGCGGGAUGACGGCCUUCGGGUUGUAAACAGCUUUCGCCUGUGACGAAGCGUGAGUGACGGUAAUGGGUAAAGAAGCACCGGCUAACUACGUG
rnacentral:rRNA from 1 species